rnacentral:rRNA from 1 species
GAUGAACGCUGGCGGCGUGCCUAAUACAUGCAAGUCGAGCGAAUGGAUUAAGAGCUUGCUCUUAUGAAGUUAGCGGCGGACGGGUGAGUAACACGUGGGUAACCUGCCCAUAAGACUGGGAUAACUCCGGGAAACCGGGGCUAAUACCGGAUAACAUUUUGAACCGCAUGGUUCGAAAUUGAAAGGCGGCUUCGGCUGUCACUUAUGGAUGGACCCGCGUCGCAUUAGCUAGUUGGUGAGGUAACGGCUCACCAAGGCAACGAUGCGUAGCCGACCUGAGGGGGUGAUCGGCCACACUGGGACUGAGACACGGCCCAGACUCCUACGGGAGGCAGCAGUAGGGAAUCUUCCGCAAUGGACGAAAGUCUGACGGAGCAACGCCGCGUGGGUGAUGAAGGCUUUCGGGUCGUAAAACUCUGUUGUUAGGGAAGAACAAGUGCUAGUUGAAUAAGCUGGCACCUUGACGGUACCUAACCAGAAAGCCACGGCUAACUACGUGCCAGCCGCCGCCGUAA